UUCAGACAUGUUUCUACUUUCUCUCCCUUUUCCUUAUGUGUCAACAGCAGCUAUACUACACCCCAAAGGCUCUUUUAAGAGCCCUGCAGAGAGCGACUUUUGGCUUUUAUUUUGCAUCGUUCUCAACUGCCUCCUCCUCAAAGUUAUUUUAUUUGAAGCCUCUGGACCCAUCAGUGCCCAGGCUUCAGCAAGCACUGUGUGCUCAGUUGCUCU